GAUCCUGCCAGUAGUGAUAUGCUUGUUUCAAAGAUUAAGCCAUGCAUGUCUAAGUAUAAGCGAACUUAUACAGUGAAACUGCGGAUGGCUCAUUAAAACAGUUUGAAUUUAUUUGAUGAAUGUAUGAGAAUACUACUUGGAUAACCGUAGUAAUUCUAGAGCUAAUACAUGCAACGACGCCCGACCGUUUCACUACGGAAGGGCUGUAUUUAUUGGAUACCAAAACCAUCCUUCCCUCGGGAAGUUUUGUUUGAUGAUUCACAAUAACUGAUCGGAUCGCCACUGUGGUGGCGACAGGUCAUUCAACAUUCUGCCCUAUCAGCUUUCGAUGGUUGUGUAGUGGACAACCAUGGCCAUAACGGGUAACGGAGAAUCAGGGUUCGAUUCCGGAGAAGGGGCUUGAGAAUUGGCUACUACAUCUAAGGAAGGCAGCAGGCGCGCAAAUUACCCAAUCCCGAUUCGGGGAGGUAGUGACAAAAAAUAACAAUACCGGGCCUUUUUGGGCUUGGUAAUUGGAAUGAGGGAGAGUUAAACGGACCAUCGAGUAUCCAUUGGAGGGCAAGUCUGGUGCCAGCAGCUGCGGUAAUACCAGCUCCAAUAGCGUAUAUUAAAGUUGUUGCAGUUAAAAAGCUCGUAGUUGGACUUGUGUGCGCUGUCCGCGGGUGGCCUGCGCCCAAAAGGGCGUUUCGGUUCGGCCCCGGUGGCGCCUUGAAAUCUGCAGCUGGGGGGACGUUGGCCUUAACUGGUCGGCGACCGCACGCCGGCUGCUCGGUUACUGUGAGAAAAUUAGAGUGUUCAAGGCAGGCAUUGGGUGCAAUUGAAUACAUUAGCAUGGAAUAAUAAAAUAUGGCUCCUGCCGUAUUUUGUUGGUUUUGACUGGUGGGAGUAAUGAUUGAUAGGGACGGUUGGGGGUGCUAGUAUUGAGCGGCCAGAGGUGAAAUUCAUGGAUUCGCUCAAGACUAACUUAUGCGAAAGCAUUCACCAAGGACGUCCUCUUUAAUCAAGAACGAAAGUUGGGGGAUCGAAGACGAUCAGAUACCGUCGUAGUCUCAACCAUAAACUAUGUCGACUUGGGAUCGGCGGUAGUUUUUUCAUUAAGACACUGUCGGGACCGCGGGAGAAAUCAAAGUGUCUGGACUCUGGGGGAAGUAUGGUCGCAAGGCUGAAACUUGAAGGAAUUGACGGAAGGGCACCACCAGGAGUGGAGCCUGCGGCUUAAUUUGACCCAACACGGGGAAACUUACCAGGUCCAGAGAUGUAGAGGAUUGACAGAUUGAAGCUCUUUCUUGAUCACUUCGGUGGUGGUGCAUGGCCGUUCUUA
rnacentral:rRNA from 1 species